CGUCGUAUGAGCCUGUUGUUAUUCACUCGGUAAGAGGAAAAGAACGACAUUUAGUGAAUUAAAUCCUAUCUAAUACUGGCUAUGCCUUGUUGUGAAUAGAACGAAAGAGAGCUGUGUCUGAAUGCACUGUCGUCACGGAGUUAAAGGCAGUGAAUUCCAUUAAAAUGAUGGAGGAGGUGGAGAUUUGAGAAGCGCUACGCACGGGAGGUCCGGUCCAGA